ACUUCACCAACAACAAGUUCUUUCUUCAGUUCAUUUGUUUUUAACAUACUUUUCCUCUAGAUUUGAUCCUCUAAGUGCCUCUCCCUCCUCUUCCCUUCCCUUUUGAGCCUUCUGUCAUUGUUCCCUUUGCCUGCCCUGCUGCCAGCAAGCAGUUUAUUUUGUCAGGCUCUGCUUGUUCACGGGGAAUAGCAUAUGUAUGAACACAUACUUUUAAGUUCUUCCAUGACUAAGGGAUGUUUUGUCUUUAUUCUUCACAGGAGCCAGCUAACAAAAGAAAUCCAGAGAUGAGCAAAAAGUGUUGUGUUUAUGAAGAGCAACUGAACAGGCCAGACAUCUUCAGCCUGCAAAGUAGCUGAGGAGGGAUACAGAAGAGGUCUGUAAAAUCAUGAGUGGCCUGGAAAAAAUGAGUUGAUUGCUGCUCUUACCUGUUUCCAGAAAAAGCACUUUCAAAAGAAAUCAAAGGCCAGAGCUUGCAUGGUUGUAAAGUUCCUUGUGUGCCUUGCAGCUCCAGGAGCUCGUGUUCAAGAAGUGAAACAGAGCCAGCACCCGAUUAAGGCAGAUUCGGUCAGACAGCUGAAGAAACUGGAGUUGAAAAGUUGGUCAGGAUAUCAACACACCUUUAAAGCCCCUGCUCUCAGUUGCCAAUGGCCAGGAGAUACCAAGAGAUAAAAUAAGCUGCAAUACUGGGAUCAGUUGGGAUACCUCAUAGAGAAGAGAAGAUGGGGAUCAAUACAGUGGCUGAAAGCCUGACCACUUCUCCUUGCCAGCUCUUCAUGGCUCCUUUCCUUUGUCCAUGUGUCAGGGAGGUGAGCUUCCCCAGGGACUUUAUAUGGCUGCUGAAAGAGCUCAAAGUUUAAGACUCUCAUCUGCUGUACAAAAAAAAAGAAAAAAGAAA